rnacentral:rRNA from 1 species
UACGGGGGGGGCAAGCGUUGUUCGGAAUUACUGGGCGUAAAGGGCUCGUAGGCGGCCAACUAAGUCGGACGUGAAAUCCCUCGGCUUAACCGGGGAACUGCGUCCGAUACUGGAUGGCUUGAGUUUGGGAGAGGGAUGCGGAAUUCCAGGUGUAGCGGUGAAAUGCGCAGAUAUCAGGAGGAACACCGGUGGCGAAGGCGGGUCUCUGGGCAACAACUGACGCUGGAGGAGCGAAAGCGUGGGGAGCGAACAGG